AACUAAUAACAGGAGCACAAUCAAUAUUAAUUACAUUGACCUAAAAGCCAGUGCUGGAAUAGAUUGCAAAAUGACCUGUUAGACCCCUCUUGGGAGGUUAUUUUAGGCUCAGUGGCUCGUCCUUGGCUUAGAGCCUUGGGAUUGGAAUUGCCCAAGAGCUGGCAAUUUUCCUUAACUCCCUCAACUCUGGCCUCCUCACCUUUCACUUCCACCACCAGCCAACUGUCUGGCAUCCAAUUCACUGGCUUGCUCUGGGGCACCCCUCCAGCCUGCCCCUGGGACUAUUCACUGAGGAUAUUAAGGCAUUGAGCCUCAGUUCCUCAAGGUUUGAGUCAAAAAGAGAAACCAGCUGCUGGAACAGGCAGGCUGUUCUAGGACCCCCAUAGUGCUCAAGGUCACCUGACCUCUGCUGCCUGGACACGCGUUUGAAUGGCAAUAGGAGACUUUACAAGUCACAACCACGUCCCUAAACUUCAGUGGGAGUUAGAUGUAAGAGCAUGGGGAUCUGGGGUUGAGCAGACUUGGCUUCAUUAAAGCCCUUCACUGGAGUCUGACCUUGGACUAAGCGUCACUGGCUUCUAUUUUCUCGUCUGUAAAGUGAGAGUGAAGAGAAUGCCUGUUAAGUGGGAUGUAGUGGGGGCUGAAAGAGAUGGAAGGGUUACGACAAGUCUACUAAAACAGUCUACAAUUAGUACUAUUAAGGAGUCUUUGCCUCCUGAUGCAGGCUUUCAGGUCCCACGAUGCCUUAUCCCAAGCCCAACACACCCUCACUUCUUGGUUGACAUUUAGGUAACUUCCAGAAACAUUUUCUGAAGCCACUCACAUACCAAACACUGCCUUAUGGAUACUUAUAGAAAGUAGGAAGCAGACUGCUCUUACCCCCCAAAAGCUCACAGUCCAGUAGAAGACAGCACACAAGCACACAUGCACUGUGCACACAAGCACAUAUGCAUUGGACAGCCUGAUGGGGAGGAGACCACUUCAGUAGUAGUCAGAGAAGACAUAAGAAUGAGUGAUUCCUGAGCAGGUUAGCUCAUCAAAGGUUGGACGGGGAC
rnacentral:lncRNA from 1 species